rnacentral:rRNA from 1 species
AUGCACGCUGGCGGCGUGCCUCAUACCUGCCAGUCGCGCGAACAGACGAGGAGCUUGCUCCUCUGACGUUAGCGGCGGACGGGUGAGUAACACGUGGAUAACCUACCUAUAAGACUGGGAUAACUUCGGGAAACCGGAGCUAAUACCGGAUAAUAUAUUGAACCGCAUGGUUCAAUAGUGAAAGACGGUUUUGCUGUCACUUAUAGAUGGAUCCGCGCCGCAUUAGCUAGUUGGUAAGGUAACGGCUUACCAAGGCAACGAUGCGUAGCCGACCUGAGAGGGUGAUCGGCCACACUGGAACUGAGACACGGUCCAGACUCCUACGGGAGGCAGCAGUAGGGAAUCUUCCGCAAUGGGCGAAAGCCUGACGGAGCAACGCCGCGUGAGUGAUGAAGGUCUUCGGAUCGUAAAACUCUGUUAUUAGGGAAGAACAAAUGUGUAAGUAACUAUGCACGUCUUGACGGUACCUAAUCAGAAAGCCACGGCUAACUACGUG